rnacentral:misc_RNA from 1 species
AACCUUAUGGACCUGCGGGCGUAUACCUGCGGAAGGAUCAUUACCGAGUUUACAACUCCCAAACCCCUGUGAACAUACCACUUGUUGCCUCGGCGGAUCAGCCCGCUCCCGGUAAAACGGGACGGCCCGCCAGAGGACCCCUAAACUCUGUUUCUAUAUGUAACUUCUGAGUAAAACCAUAAAUAAAUCAAAACUUUUAACAACGGAUCU